rnacentral:lncRNA from 1 species
GCCACGACUGGAACUACUAUUUUUUCCUUUUUUUUUUUUUGUGCCCUCAUCCCAUCCCGUACUCAGACCUCCCUCGGCCCCUCCCUCAGCCAGAGUUCCCUCAUUUAUGUUCUUACCCAGAGUUCCCUAUCCUCCCUUACCCAGAGUUCCCUCACUUACGUCCUUACCCAGAGUUCCCUCACCCUCCCUCACCCAGACUUCCUUCACUUACGUCCUUACCCAGAGUUCCCUAUCCUUCCUUACCCAGAGUCCCCUCACUUACGUCCUUACCCAGACUUCCUUCACUUACGUCCUUACCCAGAGUUCCCUAUCCUUCCUUACCCAGAGUUCCCUAUCCUUCCUUACCCAGAGUUCCCUCACCCUCCCUCACCCAGACCUUCCCCCACCCUCCCUCAAUCAUACUUUCCUCACCCCUUUCUUCACUCAGAGUUCCCUCACCUUCUGUGUUUUUUUUUUUUUUUAAUCAAUGGAGAGAAGAGUUACAACUUUCAUCCAAUUUUUGAAAAGCAAUCCAGAACCCAAAAGUGCUCUGCACCAUCAGCUGCCUUUAUCAUCAAAGACUCUUGGGAGACCAGGCUGCUAUCUUGCAAGGCCCGAAUUACAGAGAUGAAGAGGACACAUUCUCUGCCCUUGGGUUACAGUUUAGGAGAGGAAGCAGGAAGGAAUCAUCAAAGGAAUAAUUAUCUAUUUAAAAUUUGGAUCUGGAUGCAAGGUUGGAACUGUAGCUCCUGGAGCCUGAACAGCACCCUCUUUGGGGGUGGGAACAAACAACCAGCUGGAAAAGAUGAAAGAUUACUUGGAUAUUAUGACGACCUAGGGGAUUGGAAUUACUGCAAUUGUGUCAAGCAAGAGUGGGAUAUAUGUGUGUGUGUAUCUCCUAAUGUUGUAUUAUCCUUCUGUUUGACUGUCAAGGGAGCAACUUCUUGCAAUAUCACGAUAGGAUCACUACUGUUGACUAGGAAACUAUCUACAACAAGAGAGUCAUGUGGAAAUGGAGAAAUAACAGAUACCCCUGUCUUCAAAUAA